GGUAAUCGAAGGGGGUCGCAGGGAAAUAUCAGAAAUUCUGUGGUUUGGGUCAGCCUGGGUGACCAGAACUGGGCUCCAAACAUCUUGAGAAGAAUAACAGCGGAGGAGCCUGGGCAGACGCCAUGAACCCUCCCUGCCAAGAGCUGAAACAAUAGCAAAGCUUUCCAAAGCCUCCCUGGCUUUAAACAAUGCCAUCAAUCACAGCCGACACACACACGUACGAGGAGCAGCUCUGCGCUCGCCUGUUAACUCUUUAUGAGGAUGAGGUUGGAGCGACCAUUACAGGACCAACAGUUUGGGAACAACGGACCUGAAAGUCAGAACUCUGGGUAAAAUCUCUGGUUCUGUCAGCAGCAGUCUCUCUCUGGACUUCAUCCAACAUCAGUUUUAAAGAGAUUCCUCGUAGCUCCAAGUCCUAGAGGACGUGUGAUAAAGUCCUGGAUGGGCUGAUGAUGAUAUAAUCUGGAAGCUACAGUUUUAAAGGCUGCAACACUUGCUGCAGGGACUGAGAGCAUGCUGGAUGCUCCUUCUCCAACAAACAGCAAUGAGAUGUUUAGGAAGAAGCUGGAGAGCAAGCUCCAGUAAAACAAUAUAAGAGAUGCCCACAGCCAGACACCCCACCCUCUUCUGACCCACAGCGUUCCUGUCACACCUCAGAUGUUUCAUCUUCCACCUCAGCCAUGGACCCUUCUGUUUGUCUCUAACUAUAUUAGGAGAUGCUGAUGCUCCUUUUGCCUCUCUCUUCCACCUGUGUCAGGUAAAACAGCAGCUGGAAAGACUAAACCAGAACAAGGUUGCAGGUUCAGAUGAUGUCAGCUCCAGGGUUCUGAAGGUCUGUGCAGAGCAGUUCUGUGGGAUUCUGCAGCACCUCUUCAACCGUAGUGGGACCCAAACGAAGGUUCCAAUGCUGUGGGAAACCUCCUGUCUUGUUCUGGUACCAAAGCUAACUCACCCAUCCGUCCUCAAUGACUAUAGACCUGUUGCCCUGACAUUCCACAUCAUGAAGGUCCUAAAAAGACUCCUAUUGGCCCACCUCAGUAAGCUAGCAAGCAACUAUCAGGACCCCCUUCAGUUUGCUUACCAACAUGUAGUUGAAGCAGAAGACACCAUCUUACACCUGCUUCAACCAACCCACUGUCUUCUGGUCAAAGCAGGCAGCAGUGGGAGGAUCCUGUUGUUCUGCAGAUCCGCCAUGAUACUGAGGAACAUCCUUCCUGCCCACAGCCACCAACAUCUGCAAUGACCUUUUCAGGAAACUUGCAUAAUAUGAGUUACAAACAUUUAAUUUCUCUCUGAGGUUAAUAAAGUAUUUUUGUGCUGAACUGAAUAUUCUCUGGGGACAUGGUCAUUGUUUACAGUCAGACCACUCAGAGCACUCUGAAUGAAACCAUAUGGACAAACUGCAGAAGGACAGAAGAACUUUGUAUGAGGAGCACCAAUGUGCUGCUCCUGAGCCCACAGAGAAGCUGUGAAGCAGAAGUUUCUUAUUGCUUCUCCAUAUUUAGGUGAGACUUCUUUCUCUGCACUGACUGAUCAAAACAAAGCAAAGAAACAGCCUGAAAAACAGCUUUAUUACAGCAGCUCCUUCACUGUCUCCAAGGAUGGCAGAGAACCCCAGAGAAGCACAGGUUACUGAAUGAAAUUAAUAAAAUGUCUUCUGUUCAAAAUAUUUCAAGAUUAUUUUAGGUAAACAUUUUUGAAAUAUUUUUUUUUAAUAAAGAAAUGCUGUUUUAAUUCCAAA